rnacentral:rRNA from 1 species
GUAGGUGGCAAGCGUUGUCCGGAAUUAUUGGGCGUAAAGCGCGCGCAGGCGGUCCUUUAAGUCUGAUGUGAAAGCCCACGGCUCAACCGUGGAGGGUCAUUGGAAACUGGGGGACUUGAGUACAGAAGAGGAAAGCGGAAUUCCAAGUGUAGCGGUGAAAUGCGUAGAGAUUUGGAGGAACACCAGUGGCGAAGGCGGCUUUCUGGUCUGUAACUGACGCUGAGGCGCGAAAGCGUGGGGAGCAAACAGGGAUUAGAUACCCUGGUAGUCCACGCCGUAAACGAUGAGUGCUAAGUGUUAGGGGGUUUCCCGCCCCUUAGUGCUGCAGCUAACGCAUUAAGCACUCCGCCCCGGGGGUAGUACGGCCGCAAGGCUG